rnacentral:misc_RNA from 1 species
GAAAUGCGAUAAUUAAUGUGAAUUGCAGAAUUCAGUGAAUCAUCGAGUCUUUGAACGCACAUUGCGCCCCCUGGUAUUCCGGGGGGCAUGCCUGUCCGAGCGUCAUUGCUGCCCUCAAGCACGGCUUGUGUGUUGGGCUUCCGUCCCUGGCAACGGGGACGGGCCCAAAAGGCAGUGGCGGCACCAUGUCUGGUCCUCGAGCGUAUGGGGCUUUGUCACCCGCUCCCGUAGGUCCAGCUGGCAGCUAGCCUCGCAACCAAUCUUUUUAACCAGGUUGACCUCGGAUCAGGUAGUGAUACCCGCUGAACUUAAGC